AUUGCAGAUUUUGGAGUUUUCACAACAAGAGCAAACUUAAGGUGACUUUAUUCUUGAAAAUGUUGGAGACUGAGAGGCAGAUGUGUAAACAGACAACUCUGCAUGGAAUUGGAGGAUACAAGUAUAUAACUGAAUGCAUUCUGUCUGGAUUUCUGUAUGGUGACAGAAGGCUUUGAUAUGGGGAGAAUUGGAGUGGCUAAGAAUCAGAUGGAGACCCAAUGUCAGUUCACAUGGAAUACCAGGGUUUGCAAAGGAGGACAUUGGAACUGGCUUAAGUAUUCGAACUUCUGAUGGCAGUUGAUGAAAGAAGAUGUCAUACUUAGGGAAACAUUAAAUUACUUUGAAUGAUAUUACCUAAAAACAUCAAACAACAGGGGAAAAAAGAGGACUGCCUAUUUCCGAUUUAUCUUUACAUAACAACACCCAAAGCACUACCAUCAAAAAAUUAAAAUCAAUAUAUAGGAAGAAAAAAUGAAGACAUUGAUUAAAAGAAAAGAAGU